rnacentral:rRNA from 1 species
UACAGAGGUCCCGAGCGUUGUUCGGAUUCAUUGGGCGUAAAGGGUGCGUAGGUGGCGCUGUAAGUGGGGUGUGAAAUCCCGGGGCUUAACCCCGGGACUGCAUUCCAUACUGCGGUGCUUGAGGACUGGAGAGGAGACUGGAAUUUACGGUGUAGCAGUGAAAUGCGUAGAGAUCGUAAGGAAGACCAGUGGCGAAGGCGGGUCUCUGGACAGUUCCUGACGCUGAGGCACGAAGGUCAGGGGAGCAAACGGG